ACAUACGCGUAGAGUUUGAUCAUGGCUCAGGACGAACGCUGGCGGCGUGCUUAACACAUGCAAGUCGAACGAUGAAGCCUUCGGGUGGAUUAGUGGCGAACGGGUGAGUAACACGUGGGAAAUCUGCCCUGCACUCUGGGACAAGCCUUGGAAACGAGGUCUAAUACCGGAUAUUACCUGUCCUCGCAUGGAGAUGGGUGGAAAGCUCCGGCGGUGCAGGAUGAUCCCGCGGCCUAUCAGCUUGUUGGUGGGGUAAUGGCCUACCAAGGCGACGACGGGUAGCCGGCCUGAGAGGGCGACCGGCCACACUGGGACUGAGACACGGCCCAGACUCCUACGGGAGGCAGCAGUGGGGAAUAUUGCACAAUGGGCGAAAGCCUGAUGCAGCGACGCCGCGUGAGGGAUGAAGGCCUUCGGGGUCGUAAACCUCUUUCAGCAGGGAAGAAGCGCAAGUGACGUACCUGCAGAAGAAGCACCGGCUAACUACGUGCCAGCAGCCGCGGUAAU
rnacentral:rRNA from 1 species